rnacentral:tRNA from 2 species
CGGGGCGUGGCUCAGCUUGGUAGAGCACCUGGUUUGGGACCAGGGGGUCGCAGGUUCAAAUCCUGUCGCCCCGACCA